AACGAACGCUGGCGGCAUGCUUUACACAUGCAAGUCGAACGGCAGCACGGGGGCAACCCUGGUGGCGAGUGGCGAACGGGUGAGUAAUGCAUCGGAACGUGCCCUGUCGUGGGGGAUAACACAUCGAAAGAUGUGCUAAUACCGCAUACGACCUGAGGGUGAAAGCGGGGGACCGUAAGGCCUCGCGCGAUAGGAGCGGCCGAUGUCUGAUUAGCUAGUUGGUGGGGUAAGGGCCUACCAAGGCGACGAUCAGUAGCUGGUCUGAGAGGACGACCAGCCACACUGGGACUGAGACACGGCCCAGACUCCUACGGGAGGCAGCAGUGGGGAAUUUUGGACAAUGGGGGCAACCCUGAUCCAGCCAUGCCGCGUGCGGGAAGAAGGCCUUCGGGUUGUAAACCGCUUUUGGCAGGAACGAAACGGUGCGGGCGAAUACCCUGUGCUAAUGACGGUACCUGCAGAAUAAGCACCGGCUAACUACGUGCCAGCCGCCGCUGUAAUAC
rnacentral:rRNA from 1 species